rnacentral:rRNA from 1 species
AGAGUUUGAUCAUGGCUCAGAAUGAACGCUGGCGGCGUGCUCAACACAUGCAAGUCGAACGAGAACGGGACUGCUUGCAAUCCUUAGUAGAGUGGCGCACGGGUGAGUAACACGUAGAUAAUCUACCUUCAAGCCUGGGAUAACUAUUCGAAAGGAUAGCUAAUACCGGAUGAAGUGUUUUGACAUAAGUUGAAACAUGAAAGGUUGCCUCUUCUUGAAAGCAAUUGUUUGGAGAUGAGUCUGCGGACCAUUAGUUUGUUGGUGGGGUAAAGGCCUACCAAGACUACGAUGGUUAGCUGGUCUGAGAGGAUGAUCAGCCACACUGGAACUGACACACGGUCCAGACUCCUACGGGAGGCAGCAGUGAGGAAUUUUGCGCAAUGGGGGAAACCCUGACGCAGCAACGCCGCGUGAGUGAAGAAGGCCCUUGGGUCGUAAAGCUCUGUCGACAGGGAAGAAAUUACUUCAUAUUAAUAGUAUGUUGUAUUGACGGUACCUGUAGAGGAAGCACCGGCUAACUCCGUGCCAGCAGCCGCGGUAAUACGGGGGGUGCAAGCGUUAUUCGGAAUUAUUGGGCGUAAAGGGCGCGUAAGCGGUCUUGUCGGUCACAUGUGAAAGCCCGGGGCUCAA